GAUGAACGCUGACAGAAUGCUUAACACAUGCAAGUCUACUUGAACUUCGGUUUGGGUGGCGGACGGGUGAGUAACGCGUAAAGAACUUGCCUCACAGUUAGGGACAACAUUUGGAACGAAUGCUAAUACCUGAAAUUAUGAUUUUAGGGCAUCCUAAGAUUAUGAAAGCUAUAUGUGCUGUGAGAGAGCUUUGCGUCCCAUUAGCUAGUUGGAGAGGUAACGGCUCACCAAGGCGAUGAUGGGUAGCCGGCCUGAGAGGGUGAACGGCCACAAGGGGACUGAGACACGGCCCUUACUCCUACGGGAGGCAGCAGUGGGGAAUAUUGGACAAUGGACCAAAAGUCUGAUCCAGCAAUUCUGUGUGCACGAUGACGUUUUUCGGAAUGUAAAGUGCUUUCAGUUGGGAAGAAA
rnacentral:rRNA from 1 species